GCUGCAAUUGUCCCAUUUGUUUGAGGUAGACGAAACACCCUUUCAAAAACAAAAGUGUCACACAUGAUUAGUAUACUGUAAGUCUGUAAUCUUUUGCAAUGAUUUUGUAGAGCUGCACUGAGUCAUCGCAGAUGGCAACUCCCCAUCCAUGCACCGCACUGACCAUGCCUCACGAGAGCUGCACUGAGUCAUCGCAGAUGGCAACUCCCCAUCCAUGCACCGCACUGACCAUGCCUCACGUACAGUCUACUGAUGAGGAACCCACAUUCCCUGGACUGGACAACACAGAGUUCAUGAAGGGGCUGGACGUCAUUGAGGGCAAUGUGUCAGUGUACCUUGCUGGCUAUGUGGCCUUCAGAGCCUCUGCCAAAUUUGAUUGCAAGAGUUGUGUUACGCUGUGGGAGGCAAACGAGGAGGACAGAGAUACACUCAAGGAGAAAUACACCUUUUUCAGAUAUAAGCAGUUCAGGGAUGGGUUAUUCCCACCAAGUGUUGUAUUACAGCGUACAACAGAGCAAAUUGAACACAUUUUUAGAUGCCAAUACCCCCACAUUUCUAAAGGGAAACAUGUCCUGGCACUCUUAAAAUCUGCAGUAUAUCAGAGUGUGAAUUUGGAUGCUGUUAUAUGUUCCGCCAGCUGUCUGUCCUGCAAAGAGUUCCUUGUUAAUACAUACUUAUUGAUGAGGAUAAAAUUUCAACUGAAGGUGGGCAAUCAGAACGCCAAAGCCAUGAAAACAAAGAAAUCAAGAAAAUUAAUGAAAUUGACAUCGGAAUUUUGACCCCCCCACCCCCACCCACACACACACACACACCUUUUUUACAUGAUUGGUAUUGAUUCCAGCCCCUGAUCACAGUCAGGAACAAUAAUGUGGCCCCCAGAUUUAAAAAAAAGUUUGGGGACCCCUGGCCUACAGUAGCUUCAGGUUGCAAUGAACGACGGGCUGUGCAUACUGCUGAAGACACCCAGGUGGAGCAGUGCAUGUUAUCUUGCUCCGACAACUAAUUUUUUAAUUAUUUUUUUUUUUACAAGGAAUGUGUAAUCUAUAUAAACAAUGCUAAUUAAAUAAACAUAGCCAUCAUCAAGUUUA